CGGCAUUAGAUCCCAAGCACUCGGGUUAUUAGCGCAACACCUCAGGCCACUAUGCCACCACGGCGGGUGCGGCGGAUAAAGGAGUGAACAUCGUUUUUACAGAGUGCGUAUCGCUUAGAUGUUACCCGUUAGCACGCACAGAACGAAACGAAAAGCUUGGCUGAUAUGUAUGUCAUCGUGCUCAUAUUUCACAUGGAGGCCACAUUCUUUUCUGUGACGUAGACGGGGUGCUGGCGAAUGUGUUGGGAAUCUGCUCGGCCACCAAGCAGAAUCUGCGCUGCUAUACGUUCUCGGUGACAAAUCGCACAGCGCAGAAGCACACACACAAAUGUUUAAAAGAAUGGGACGACAGACCGCCUGCAGUUUGCUGUGACGUCGAAAUAAGAAGCACAAACAGCGACGUUUCUGUACUUUUCUGGUCAAUAGUUCAGUUCGCAUGGUUGCGGCACGCAUUACUUUUUUUUAAAAUCCAAACGACGAAAACUGUGCGCGCACAAAUUAGCACGGCGUUUGCGACGUUUGAAUUUGGCGCCUUUUCCCGCGCACUCCAUUAGCUCCGGCCGGUGCACCGCGUUACUGCGCCAAAGAAAGUAGUUCAUCAAAGAAGUGAAGCAAAAAACUUUCAUACACAUGCAAAGCGCAACAAUUGUUCUGUAAUAACAUGACAUCACAGAAUUUGUUAUCAAAUAGUACAAUUUAUGAUAAUAUAAGCGUGUAUUUGUAUGAGUGUACAUGUAUGAUUGCGCGUUUGCGGUGUUGAUGCUUGGAGCAUUCCGGCGAGUUCGUGUACGCUGUUCGCUUGAAAGCUUCCUGCUUUUCUGCGUUCUUUGUGUGCUUCGCUGUGACAUCUUUGGAAUAUUCCUGCGUGUUGCUCGCUUUUUAUGGGCUUGUUGCCUCGAAGAUCGCCAUGAUCGCCUCCGACUCAGCGUCAUCAAAGAUUCAAAGUGAGCUGGGAGACGCCCCAGCUGGCACGCUAAAGGUUCACAUAGGUUGAAGGAGUGCACAUUGAGAAGGUUAUCCUGGCACAGCUUACCAUGGGCUGCCAUGGUGGACCAGGAAAGUUUGCAAGGGCCUUGCUUCACCAUGUGUUCACAGAGGAGGAGCUCAUGGGUCAUUUGGCCUUUGGAAAUAACACCAAGGGGCAAAAAGGGCUCUUGACCCCACCAGGGUCAGUGCUGUUAUAGGCUUCACGUGUCACAAGUUUCCUGGUACCAACAUGCCCUAUGUAAAGAACUCUGGCCUCGCUUCUCGCAUGGGACCAAUAGCCUCUCAAGAGCCCAAGUUGGACAGCUCAAACCAAAACACAAGUGUUGUGCUUUUGUAACUCUCGACAUUUUUAUGUUUUAUGUUAGUCUCCUGAAGGGCUCAAUUUGGAUUUCUCAAAUGAGCAUACAAAUGUUGUGCCUUUCUAUGCCUUGACAUUUUUAUGUUAAUUUUAUUUAUGCUAAUUAUGCAAGUCUCCUGAGAAGCCCACAUUGGAUUGCUUAAUCCAGAAUACAAGUGCUGUGCUUUGUUAUAGUUCACUACAUUUUUAUGUUAGUUUUUGAUAUGGUUCCAGUAAGGAUAGUGUUUCCUUAAUAAUAUAUUUUUUAAGUAUCUUAAGUCAUUUCAUGCCAAACCACCCAGUUUUGUCAAGAACUGUUCCACUAUGGCAAAGCAUUUCAAGUUUGCUUGAUUUUGAGUAGGUACAAUAAGAAAAUUUUUGAGAAAAUUUGCUUUCAUACAUACACUUGAGUCAUUCCAGGGCAACCAACCAGCGUUUUUUUGACCAUCACAGAUAUAGUUGAAACUCCGAACUCUUGCUCCCCAUUUAUUUUCCUUCACAAAAAUUUUUUUGAAUUUUGGCAAAAAUUUAUUGUUCUUGCCCAGCUAAGCUAGAAGGCACUGAUACACGUUUCUUUUGAAAGGGAAAUUGUAUGAUCCAGAUAUUCAGAUGAUGUUCAUGUCAAGAGACAAGUGGUGUGACUGCCAAAAUUUGCAAAGUUUGAAUUUUCUUCUAAUGUAGGGAAAUACAGAAGGCACAAAAUAAAUAUAAAAUCAGACUGGUUGACUUGGGAUAGCUGCAAAAUAUUUCAAGCCUUGUAGGUUCAGUUGAUCAGCUAAAAAAACUGAAAGUUCCAAUUUUUUGCAAGAAGCUUCGUGUUGAAGGUAAAAAAUUAGCUUUGGAGGUUGGCACAAAAGUAUGUCGCCCAUCGUUACACAGCCCUACAUGUCUGCUAUGCAUGUGACAAGUAACAAAAAGGUAUUCUUUAAGUGCAAUAAAUUAUUUUCUCUAAUGUUCAUUUGUGGAUCACACAUACAGCAUAAAUAUAGCAUAAAUAUAUGAAGCCAUGUCAGCUAGCAAGGAAAGAUUGUUAAUAUAAUUAGCCACAAAAACUACUCAACAAACUGACUGCCUUUUUUAUCAUUGCGAAGGCAGGUGACGUCAAGCGCUACAGCUGCAGUCUCAACUUGUAUUUUUUUAACAUGAAUGCAAAAAGUGGUCGCCAGUGGUGUCUGACCACAUCAGACUGAACAAGGCAAAUAUGACUUUUAUAGGUGAACACGUUCUGGCUCUGAAACAGUGGUAGCAAACAACACCACAAGAAUUUGUUCACACUUAUGUAGGUUUUCAGUCUUAAUUAUGAAGGUGUUUUCUAUUUGCAUCAUCAUUGGGCUCCAGGGAGCAGGGCACGAAGUGUCCUGCUCCCUCUGUGUUGCAUUGCAGUGCGACAUGCCCUUUAAAAUGCUUUGUAUGAACAAUAUCAGCGCUCUUCCUGGAUUUACUGUCUACAUAAUAGCCGAUAUUUCUUUUUGUAAACUGCAUGAAAGAUAUCUUUUAACACUGCAGGAUUCCCUCACAUAUUAAUACGUACGAGGUCUGUUAGAAAAGUAUUUGACUUUUUUUUGCAGACACCUGAUGAAUAUGAAACAAGCGCGUUUUCAUCAGCCACCCUUGAACCUUCUCGCGCAUGCACGAAUUUUUUCCCGCCUGCCAAUAGCGUGAAUUGCUGGGACGCAGCAUUUGAAUGAGGUAGUACACAGUGCUCUCGUCGUUUUUUUAUUGCAAGGAAAAUGGCGGAGCGACUGGAGCAGUGCUACUGCGUCAAAUUUUGCCAGAAACUGGGCGACAGCCACGUGGAAACCAUUCGGAAGAUUCAGACUGCUUUGGGUGACUGCGCUAUGAGCAGCACACAGAUUAAGGGGGGAUGAGGGUCUUGAAAACUUUUUUUUUAUUUCUUAACAUAUCUUCCUGAAAAUUGGCAUGCAGAUAUAUCUUUGAAUGCUGAUCCCAAAUAUAUAUUCAGAUUUUAUAUAUCUCAUCUAGAAAUAAAGAUAUUGCAAAAUAAUUGAUCCCACAUAGGUCUUUUCUUACGGGCCAUUAUGAUAAUUUCUUAAUUAAAAAAACUAGUUUCAAAGAAUAGCUUUCAUUUCCAAGGCCCCACUGCACAUCCUAAAGCUAAAGAAAUUUUUAAAAAGUGAUCAUAGAGGUCGUGAAUGAAUAACAAAGUAGGAAGAAAAAAACAAUGCAGGAGUAAUUAGCUUACAUCUGACCUAAUUGCUAGCCUAUUGGGUUUAAUGAAAAAUGGAAAGCUUUAGGAUGUAGCUGAGGUUUUACUGAAAAAAAUGAUACCUAAUUCAAUAAAAUCAAUUGAUGCAAACACUAUGAAAAGUUCUGUAAGGCAAAGGCAUUUGAUCGAAAAAGCAAAGCUGAGAAAAUUGCAUUCAAAGUUUUGCUUACUCUGCCACUUUUGUUUACCUAUCACAUGGAAAAAUUUAAUGCUUUAGCAUGCAGCCCAGUCAUUACUGAACACAAUAACACCAAACUCACAGAAAUCUGUUCAUUUAAAGAUUGUGAAAACCUCUGUAUUGCAUUGGCACUUGACAAAAGAAAAAAAAGUUCAGAAAGUCGUCUUCACUAGCUGCGCCGACGUUCAUUAGCUCGAACUUGCGGGAAGUCGCGGACUUCUUCGCCAAUGAAGUUUUAAUGUUGUCUGCGUACUUUUCACGCCCCGCGCACUCCGCGCAAAACACCGUGUCGAAGCGUUGAGCACGCGAGCUCGGUUCAGCCGCGUCCGUCGGCACCGAAGCGGCGUGCGGAAACGCCGAAGUCGACGUUAGGCUUAGCUCAGCCGGCUCGGCCGCUUUCGACGACACGGAAUCCGAAGCGACUUGCAGCGUCUCAAAAGUUAGCAUUUUCGACGGGCUUAGUCCAGGCGCAUCCACCGGCACUGCAGAGACUUGCGGUAACACCGAAGUCGACACCGAUCGGCACUGUCCAGCCGCGUCCACCGGCGAAGCUGUUGUUGGCGAGCUCAGUCCAGCCGCAUCCACCAAGGGCACAGCAGCUUGCGGCAUCACCGAAGCUGUAGUUCUCGACGAUGUAGCGCUCUUAUUCCAUGCGCGCCUCUUUUUGCUGACUGCUUUUCGCGUGCUUGCUUUCAAGCGCGCGUCUCGCGCCAUCGUGACACGCGGAACAACGACACCAGGCACGCAAAAGCAAGAAAUUCUUGGUUAAAAGAAGCGACUCAAUAGCCAAAAUAUCUACAAGAACGAUAAAGAAAAGGGCAGAACGAAAAAUACUAGGAAACAAAGAUGAAUGCGAAAAAUGACGUGCGCGCCGGCGAAAGCAGACGACACGAAGGAGUCGAACAACGCGGCCGCGGGGCCGCGGCAGGCGUCACGGCCAAUCAGAGGGCUGCGCCUCGGGGAGGCGCCCGUUUCACCCAAUCAGCGGCUGUCUCGCGACGAUUUCGCGCUUGAGAACGGGUGCCUGGGUUGCCGAUCGCUCCGCUGCACGAGGGUCUACAGCGUGCCGAGGGGCGCCAGAACGGAGAGCGGGAAACCAGCUUUCAAACGAGACCAAGAUGGCGCCGAUCGGUUCGCGUCACGCGGAGCUACGGCAGCUUGAAAAUGAGGCAAACCUUCGCGCUUGGCGUUCAAUUUCGGCUCACCGACGUUUCUAAAUUACCGUUUUUUUAAUACUUCGAGUAGGAAUUGAGCCAUAAUAAUUUGUAGAGGCAUAGCUGGGACAUUAAAGACUUCAAAAACGCAAUUUUUGAAAAUUGCCAUUUUUGACCAUUUUUCGAGAUUUCAAGACCCGCGUCCCCCCUUAAGGAGUGGUACAACCAGUUUAAAGACGACCACGCAUCGGUGGAGAGCGAGCCACGCUCCAGUCGGCCAUCAAUAUGCCGAAAUGACCAGGUCAUUGCCUAAGUGAACCCUGUGGUGAUGCGGGACCGUCGUGUGACUAUCCAAGAAAUUGUGGAAGAGGUGGGCAUCAGCACAUUUUAUCCACAUUCCAUUAUCACCGAAGAUUUGGCCAUGAAAAGAUUUGCCCCGAAAUUCGUUCCCAAGCUGCUCAUGGUGGAGCAAAAGCAACUUCGUGUUGAAGUCUCACAGACAUGCUGGAUUCCACAAACAGUGACCUCAACUUCACGAACACCAUAAUCACUGGUGACAAGUCUUGGAUGUAUGUUUAUGACCGGGAAACCAAAUCCCAGUCAUUACAGUGGAAGCAUUCCACGUCACCAACCAAAGACCGCUAAGUGCGCAUCAACGUUAAAGUGUUGCUGACUGCUUUCUUUGACUCCCGCAGUGUGGUACACCACGGGUACGCACCAAAGGGUCAAACAAUCACUAAAGACUAACUACUACAGGGAUGUCCUCCAUGGCCUAUGUGAUGCUGUGUGGCGCAAGAUACCAAAGUUGUCAACAGGAAAUUGGCGCAUCCAUCACGACAAUGCUUUUCUCGCACUUGAUUCAGACCCUUUUGGCGAAAAACCAGACUCCUGUAGUUCGACAGGCUCCUUACUCUCCUUAUAUGGCCGCCUGCGGCUUCUGGCUAUUUCCCAAAAUCAAGAGGCCAUUGAAAGAAGCACAAUUGCAGACAAGAGAAGACAUUAUGGCUGCAACGACAGCUGAGCUAAACUCCAUUCGGAAAGAGGCCUUCUCGGAAUGCUUCUAACAAUGGCAGCACCGCUGGGAGAAGUGGCUGGAGUCCCAAGGAGACUACUUUGAGAGUGAUUAGGUUUCCAACGCUCCAGUUAUCCCAGUUUUUUUUUUCUUCAGCCAAAGGUCGGAUACUUUUCUAACAGACCUCGUAUUGAUAUUUUAUGUGUAAUGGCUGUAUGGUUUACCUGGCCCACACCAAACACAAGCCUCGUUGCGUUAGAGCAUGUGUCCCUUGGCAAUAAAAUGCAGACACUAACACCGCUUCUCUGUCAUCUGUGUGGAGACGAAGCCAGCUUUGUGGUCUGCAUUCCCAGCCGGCAAGCAGUGCGCACAUCCGAGAAAAGUCGGUGCUGACAAAAUUUCAAAAAAGAGUUUCUCGCAUUUAAAAAUAAUGCCUUUUUUAACUUCGCACAUGCAUAGCAGACAUGUAGAGCUAUCCAAUAAUGUAUCACAUACUUUUUGGCCAACCAUGAAAGCUGUUUUUUCCUUCAACAUGAAGCUUCUUGCAAAAGAUUAAAAUUUGUUUUUUUUUUACAGGCGAUUAGCUGAACCUUCAAAGCUUCACAUUUUUUUUGCUAUACUAUGUCACCUGGGCUACCAUUCUGUAUUUAAUUUCUGUCCUGUGAAUUUUCGUUACGAAAAAAAAAACUAACGGAUUGCAAUUUGACUCAUUUUUGCCGGUGCCGAAAGCAAUUGAAGUAUUCAAAUAUUUAAAAAAUUGGCUAUUUCGGCAGUUGCAUCACUUCACCGUAUUUCCACGCACACCAUUUGAAGGCCUCGAUCAAUACAAUGUGCAUUUGAAGAAGAAUGUUGAUUGAUGUCCUCUAGCUCAGCUGAGCAGGAAAACUAAACUGUCACCAAAGUGCUACAAAAUAUCUGGCAAAAAUAAAUAAAAGUGGGUAACGAGUUUUGAACUCUAGUAAACAUAUAGUAAUGUUUCAGCUAUAUGUGUGCUGUCAAAAAAACGCUGGUCGAUUCGGCAUGGAAUCGCACAC